rnacentral:misc_RNA from 1 species
AACGCACAUUGCGCUCCCUGGUAUUCCGGGGAGCAUGCUCGUUUCAGAAUCAUUUAAAAUCUCAAAGACGCCGUCUCGAAGCCUUCGGGUGAUGGUCGGCGCUCUUUCGGAUGUGAGCCCCUUUUGUCGAGCAGGCAAAUGGCUUGAAAAUGAUUGUGUUUGCAACCGGCCUCCUUGGUUCGGUUCUCUCAAGUGCAACAGAUGUUUACUCAUUCGUUACCUCUUGACGAGAAGCGCUGCCAUUGUCCGGAUGAUCUGACACUCAACCAAAAUACACUCUCAGCGAUCCUUGGAUCGUUGUUUGAUAACUUGGUCUGAAAUCGAGCAAGAAAACCCGCUGAACUUAA